rnacentral:rRNA from 1 species
AUUGAACGCUGGCGGCAGGCCUAACACAUGCAAGUCGAGCGAGCGGCGGACGGGUGAGUAAUGUCUGGGAAACUGCCUGAUGGAGGGGGAUAACUACUGGAAACGGUAGCUAAUACCGCAUACCAUCAGAUGUGCCCAGAUGGGAUUAGCUAGUAGGUGGGGUAACGGCUCACCUAGGCGACGAUCCCUAGCUGGUCUGAGAGGAUGACCAGCCCAACUGGAACUGAGACACGGUCCAGACUCCUAGGGAGGGAAGCAGUGGGGAAUGUUGCACAAUGGGCGCAGGCCGGAUGCAGCCAGGCCGGGUGUGUGAAGAAGGCCUUCGGGUUGUAAAGCACUUUCAGCGGGGAGGCGUUACCCGCAGAAGAAGCACCGGCUAACUCCGUGCCAGCAGCCGCGGUAUUC